GUGAAAAGAAGAGGUUCCAAGGUUGAAUCACGGUCACUUUUAUGAACACCCCUGUGAAGUUUCGAAUGGUUCUUCUAUCUAAUGUUGCAACUGAAGGUGGACACAGGCAAAGCAGUAGUUACUCUAAGACAAAAUGUGGGCCCUCCUGAUACUCACGGUUGCACUUACUGUUGGGGCUUCACAAAACAGCAAUGAUGCAGCGGGGGAAGAAAAGCUUAACAUCGCAAGAGCUACAUUAUUUGCUCCCAGUGUCGUUGGAUGAGCUAUAAAGAAGCUGCCGGAGCUCUACCACUUCCUCAUGGAGCAGUCGGCUUUGUACCACAAUCUCGUGUAUGAUUCAUCGACGGAGAAGAACCCUCGCCUCGUCUUCUACAACGAGAGGGACGAGGCGGUAAAGACGGUGAAAGUGAAGAAAAUGAAGUCGGCUGAGAUCAGCAGCCUGCUAGACUCACUGGGAUUCUACAAGAGGUCCCAAAAAGGGGAAGAGGUGCCGGAGGAGGUCCAGCACCUCCCCUCGCGCAGAGACGAGCUGUGAGGACCCCCUGUGGCUGAAUCCCGCUGCUGCAC
rnacentral:lncRNA from 1 species